rnacentral:rRNA from 1 species
UACGUAGGCGGCAAGCGUUGUCCGGAAUCAUUGGGCGUAAAGGGAGCGCAGGCGGAACAUUAAGCGGAUCUUAAAAGUGCGGGGCUCAACCCCGUGAGGGAGUGGAAACUACUUUUCUUGAGUGCAGGAGAGGAAAGCGGAAUUCCUAGUGUAGCGGUGAAAUGCGUAGAUAUUAGGAGGAACACCAGUGGCGAAGGCGGCUUUCUGGACUGUAACUGACACUGAGGCUCGAAAGCCAGGGGAGCGAACGGG